rnacentral:rRNA from 1 species
AGCUCCAAUAGCGUAUAUUAAAGUUGUUGCAGUUAAAAAGCUCGUAGUCGGAUUUCGGGGCGUUCGGGUCGGUCUGCCGCAAGGUACGCACUGGUUCGUCGUUCUUUUUGGCGCUGUCCCUCAUGUACUUGAUUGUGCGUGUUGGGUUCACGUCACGUUUACUUUGAGAAAAUCAGAGUGUUCAAAGCAGGCCUUUGCCAUUGUAUGUGUUAGCAUGGGAUAAUGGAAUAGGACUUUGGUGCUAUUUUGUUGGUUUCGAACACCGAGGUAAUGAUUAAUAGGGACAGUCAGGGGCACUCGUAUUCCGUAGAGAGAGGUGAAAUUCUUAGACCCACGGAAGACGAACUACUGCGAAAGCAUUUGCCAGGGAUGUUUUCACUGAUCAAGAACGAAAGUACGC